AACGAACGCUGGCGGCAUGCCUAACACAUGCAAGUCGAACGAGAUCUUCGGGUCUAGUGGCGCACGGGUGCGUAACGCGUGGGAAUCUGCCCUUUGGUUCGGAAUAACAGUUGGAAACGACUGCUAAUACCGGAUGAUGACGAAAGUCCAAAGAUUUAUCGCCGGAGGGAUGAGCCCGCGUAGGAUUAGCUAGUUGGUGUGGUAAAGGCGCACCAAGGCGACGAUCCUUAGCUGGUCUGAGAGGAUGAUCAGCCACACUGGGACUGAGACACGGCCCAGACUCCGCGGGGGGGCAGCAGUGGGGAAUAUUGGACAAGGGGCAAAAGCUUGACCAAGCAAGGCCGGGGGGUGGAGAAGGCCCCUGGGGUUGAAAAGCUUUUUUACCGGGGAUAAAAAGGCCAGUACGGGGAGAAAAAGCCCCGGCAAACUCCGUGCCGGCCGCCGAAGUAA
rnacentral:rRNA from 1 species